rnacentral:rRNA from 1 species
UAAGUAGGUGACAAGCGUUGUUCGGAUUCAUUGGGCGUAAAGGGUCCGCAGGUGGUUUGAUAAGUCUGACGUGAAAUACCGGAGCUCAACUCCGGAAUUGCGUUGGAAACUGUUGAACUGGAGUACCGGAGAGGAAAUUGGAAUUUCAGGUGUAGCGGUGGAAUGCGUAGAUAUCUGAAAGAACAUCGAAAGCGAAGGCAGAUUUCUGGACGGUUACUGAAACUCAGGGACGAAAGAAUGGGGAGCAAAC